rnacentral:rRNA from 2 species
AAAACGACUCUCGGCAACGGAUAUCUCGGCUCACGCAUCGAUGAAGAACGUAGCAAAAUGCGAUACUUGGUGUGAAUUGCAGAAUCCCGUGAACCAUCGAGUUUUUGAACGCAAGUUGCGCCCGAAGCCAUCCGGUUUAGGGCACGUCUGCCUGGGCGUCACGC